rnacentral:hammerhead_ribozyme from 1 species
GCACUGCUGAGGAGUCCCAUACAUACUAGGACGAAACGGCAGUCCAGUGC